GUGAGUCUAUGGGACGACGAAGGGUAUUCCGGUAAUUUUAUCCGGUCCAACUUUUUUUCUCCUUCUACGUACAUUCUACACAGAUCCUUUUCAUUCUACAUACAUCCUACGCAGAUCCUAGAUUUUUUCUCACUCUAAAACCUCUGGAACUGUCCAUCUUCGUCUUCACCCUCAAUUCAUGUCUCUGGAAGUAUCCAUCUUCGUCUUCACCCUUGAGGUUUUUGCUGUCUACAGUGGAUGGAAUUUCAACCCAGAAUAAAGAAUGAGGCCAACAGGGAGAAGGGAUUUCUUGGAGGGUGGUUGCCCUCUCUGCUUGGCCUAUGAUUUCUCCAUCUACCAAAUCAACAACCCUCUUCAGAAAAAAACAGGCAAGUAUGUUUGGUGAUUCUGAUAGUCGAGAUACUAUCUUUUUGAGCUUAAGCCUUGAGGCAAUGUUUUUGGUCCAAAACAUGCCCAGAUCUAAAGGUUGCGUUUGUUUGAUGAGAAUUUUUUAACAUGUCCAAAUGGCUCCUAGAACUAUGGAAAAGUUUCCAUUUCUCGAAAAAGGUAAUGAUGAUACUGCUAAUCGCUGCUGAAGUUCGGGGCAUGGAGACAGGUGACAGGUGCUCUUGAUUAGAGAAAGAUCAGGGGGUGCUAAUGAUGCAGAUAAAAUAUCUGAUAAAAUGUCCUCCAACAAAAUAGUGCCUACUGCAUCAGGAGAUGGCUCUACAAUAGUUGCUGAUACCUUCAAAUAAUACAUAGAGAUGAUAUAGAUAUGCCAGAUAUGUUCUCUUACUUUCUUAUACUACUUGAACCAUAGGAAGCUGCUCUAUUAUUAGCUAAAGAAAUAGAUAAGGAGAAGCUUAUUUUUC